rnacentral:tRNA from 1 species
GGAGCAGCCGCCGGGUUGAACGGGUAUCAUUGAUGUUGGUAAAUUAAAGAACAAACUUUUGUUCUGC